rnacentral:tRNA from 1 species
CAGGGAGACAACAAAAUGUUUAAUAUUAUUAUUUUGUCACCUUAGGUCGAUCGGUAUCUCACAUUUUUAAUUUAUUAAGAAUUUCAUUUCCUAAGUUUUUCUAGGUCACACCCAUUAUUUUUCCUGGGCCAUUAGCUCAGGUGGUUAGAGCGCACCCCUGAUAAGGGUGAGGUCCCUGGUUCAAGUCCAGGAUGGCCCAUAUCUCUAUGUUGGGGGUAUAGCUCAGUUGGUAGAGCGCCUGCUUUGCAAGCAGGAUGUCAGCGGUUCGAGUCCGCUUACCUCCACUGAUUACCACCUCUUUCAUAACCGGAAUAAAGGAAAUGUUUUGAGUUGUGAUCAACUUCUGGAAGAAUCUAGCUUCCUAAUGAAAUCAUUAAGAUGCUGGACUCAUUGAAUUAAUUUCAUUGUUUUCAGAGAACCUUGACAACUGCAUAGAUUAUUUUUAAAGACAAUAAGCAUCUUUAAUGAUGCAGAUUUAUUAUUUGUGCGAAUGCAUUAAUAACAAUUCUAUUAAGCUGAUGCUUCAAUUUUGAAGUUAUU